rnacentral:rRNA from 1 species
GACGAACGCUGGCGGCGUGGAUUAGGCAUGCAAGUCGAACGGUAGGAUACCUUCGGGUAUCUGAGAGUGGCGAACGGGUGAGUAACACGUAGGUGAUCUACCCUCAAGAUUGGGACAACCCAGGGAAACUUGGGCUAAUACCGGAUGAAAGCAGCAGUGAUGUUGUUUGAAAGGUGGCGUAAGCUGCCGUUUGGGGAUGAGCCUGCGCUCUAUUAGUUAGUUGGCGGGGUAAAGGCCCACCAAGGCGAUGAUAGAUAGGCGGCCUUAACGGGUGGUCGCCCACACUGGGAUUGAGAUACGGCCCAGACUCCUACGGGAGGCAGCAGUCGAGAAUAGUCUACAAUGGCCGAAAGGCUGAUAGUGCGACGCCGCGUGAACGAAGAAGCCCUUCGGGGUGUAAAGUUCUUUUAUAUGUGAGCAGUGCUUUCUAUGUGAACAGCAUGGGGAGAGAGAUAUUAGCAUAUGAAUAAGCAAACGGGCUAAACCCCGUCGUCCGACGCGACGACC